AGUGAACGCUGGCGGUAGGCCUAACACAUGCAAGUCGAACGGCAGCACAGUAAGAGCUUGCUCUUACGGGUGGCGAGUGGCGGACGGGUGAGGAAUACAUCGGAAUCUACUUUUUCGUGGGGGAUAACGUGGGGAAACUUACGCUAAUACCGCAUACGACCUACGGGUGAAAGCAGGGGAUCUUCGGACCUUGCGCGAUUGAAUGAGCCGAUGUCGGAUUAGCUAGUUGGCGGGGUAAAGGCCCACCAAGGCGACGAUCCGUAGCUGGUCUGAGAGGAUGAUCAGCCACACUGGAACUGAGACACGGUCCAGACUCCUACGGGAGGCAGCAGUGGGGAAUAUUGGACAAUGGGCGCAAGCCUGAUCCAGCCAUACCGCGUGGGUGAAGAAGGCCUUCGGGUUGUAAAGCCCUUUUGUUGGGAAAGAAAAGCAGCAGGUUAAUACCCCGCUGUUCUGACGGUACCCAAAGAGUAAGCACCGGCUAACUUCGUG
rnacentral:rRNA from 1 species